CAGCAGCCGCGGUAAUACGGAGGGUGCAAGCGUUACUCGGAAUCACUGGGCGUAAAGCGCGCGCAGGCGGCCUAUUAAGUUGGAUGUGAAAGCCUACGGCUCAACCGUAGAACUGCAUCCAAAACUAUUAGGCUAGAGUGUGGGAGAGGAAGAUGGAAUUAGUUGUGUAGGGGUAAAAUCCGUAGAGAUAACUAGGAAUACCAAAAGCGAAGGCAAUCUUCUGGAACAUUACUGACGCUGAGGCGCGAAAGCGUGGGGAGCAAACAGGAUUAGAUACCCUGGUAGUCCACGCCCUAAACGAUGAAUGUUAGUCGUCGGGUAGCUAGUCUAUUCGGUGAUGCAGCUAACGCAUUAAACAUUCCGCCUGGGGAGUACGGUCGCAAGAUUAAAACUCAAAGGAAUAGACGGGGACCCGCACAAGUGGUGGAGCAUGUGGUUUAAUUCGAAGAUACGCGAAGAACCUUACCUAGCCUUGACAUAUAUUAGAACACUUUAGAGAUAGAGUGGUGCCUUCGGGAGCUUUUAUACAGGUGCUGCACGGCUGUCGUCAGCUCGUGUCGUGAGAUGUUGGGUUAGUUCCCGCAACGAGCGCAACCCUCGUCACUAGUUACUAACGGUUCGGCCGAGGACUCUAGUGAGACUGCCUUCGUAAGGAGGAGGAAGGUGAGGACGACGUCAAGUCAUCAUGGCCCUUACGGCUAGGGCAACACACGUGC
rnacentral:rRNA from 1 species